AUUGAACGCUGGCGGCAUGCUUUACACAUGCAAGUCGAACGGCAGCGGGGAGGAGCUUGCUUCUCUGCCGGCGAGUGGCGAACGGGUGAGUAAUACAUCGGAACGUGUCGAGAAGAGGGGGAUAACCACCCGAAAGGGUGGCUAAUACCGCAUAAAUUCUGAGGCAGAAAGCUGGGGACCUGGGAAUAGGCCUAGCGCUUUUUGAGCGGCCGAUGUCGGAUUAGCUAGUUGGUGAGGUAAAGGCUCACCAAGGCGAAGAUCUGUAGCGGGUCUGAGAGGAUGAUCCGCCACACUGGGACUGAGACACGGCCCAGACUCCUACGGGAGGCAGCAGUGGGGAAUUUUGGACAAUGGGGGCAACCCUGAUCCAGCCAUGCCGCGUGUAUGAAGAAGGCCUUAGGGUUGUAAAGUACUUUUGUUAGGGAAGAAAAGUCAGCUGUGAAUAAUGGCUGAUACUGACGGUACCUAAAGAAUAAGCACCGGCUAACUACGUG
rnacentral:rRNA from 1 species